AAGGCUUCGGCCUUAGUGGCGCACGGGUGCGUAACGCGUGGGAAUCUGCCCUUGGGUUCGGAAUAACAGCUAGAAAUGGCUGCUAAUACCGGAUGAUGACGUAAGUCCAAAGAUUUAUCGCCCAGGGAUGAGCCCGCGUAGGAUUAGCUAGUUGGUGAGGUAAAGGCUCACCAAGGCGACGAUCCUUAGCUGGUCUGAGAGGAUGAUCAGCCACACUGGGACUGAGACACGGCCCAGACUCCUACGGGAGGCAGCAGUGGGGAAUAUUGGACAAUGGGCGCAAGCCUGAUCCAGCAAUGCCGCGUGAGUGAUGAAGGCCUUAGGGUUGUAAAGCUCUUUUACCCGGGAUGAUAAUGACAGUACCGGGAGAAUAAGCUCCGGCUAACUCCGUGCCAGCAGCCGCGGUAAUACGGAGGGAGCUAGCGUUAUUCGGAAUUACUGGGCGUAAAGCGCACGUAGGCGGCUUUGUAAGUUAGAGGUGAAAGCCUGGAGCUCAACUCCAGAAUUGCCUUUAAGACUGCAUCGCUUGAAUCCAGGAGAGGUGAGUGGAAUUCCGAGUGUAGAGGUGAAAUUCGUAGAUAUUCGGAAGAACACCAGUGGCGAAGGCGGCUCACUGGACUGGUAUUGACGCUGAGGUGCGAAAGCGUGGG
rnacentral:rRNA from 1 species